UAGCCCGAGGAUGUUUAGACCACCCCGCCUCCCACCUUGAGAAACUUGCACGGAUGGGGACUGGCUGAAGGCGAAGGUUACCUGUGAGCCGGGCGAACCCGGUAAUGCUCUCGGGGACAGGGAGCCGCUUUAGAUAGGCGGGGAGCUGCACCUUCACGAUGCGGGCCACGCUCUCCAGCACCAUCCUCGCGAGCAGCGUUCACUCCCCUCUGAGCCCGCGCCGCUCUCAGGCGGGCUGCCGCGCCUGCGCCGAGAGCAGAAGCGGCCGCCGGGCGUCGCGGCCUGGGUCCAGCGGCCGGCAGGAGGGGGCGGCGCUGGGGGCCCCCUGAGGAGAGGUGACCUGCUGGGCUCCGAUUGGCAGCGGGCGAGUGACGUGCGCGCCCCGCGGACGCCGAGGGGGCGCGCGCGGCCGCGAAGUGCGGAGCCGCGGGAAUGGAUGACUAGGGCGGGCCUUUGUGGAAACUCGGUUUUGAAGAGGGCCUGCGUUCUCGCUGGGCUCUUCAACCUCUAUCCGUAGAUGCUGGAGGCCAGCAGGGAGGAUAGUGUGUCCGGUGAGACAAGGCAUGUGAACGUGCUUUGCAUCCGGAAAGUGCCUUUCAAAACUCCUGGUUUGCUGGUGGUACCUGGCAGAAAUGGAACUCCUGACCAUGAGACAUCAAGUGACUAUGUGAAUGAUUAAAAUACUACUCAUCAUGAACUGGUGUUAUUAGAUUCACCAAUCAUACAACUGGAUGGACGUAACAGUGGUUGGCUCCCUACAAGACUGGGAACAUGGCCACAACUAGACUGAAUAAACACGUGACUCAGACUACUAC